rnacentral:rRNA from 1 species
AGAGUUUGAUCAUGGCUCAGAACGAACGCUGGCGGCAUGCCUAACACAUGCAAGUCGAACGAACCCUUCGGGGUGAGUGGCGCACGGGUGCGUAACGCGUGGGAACCUGCCUUUAGGUUCGGAAUAACAGUUAGAAAUGACUGCUAAUACCGGAUAAUGUCUUCGGACCAAAGAUUUAUCGCCUUUAGAUGGGCCCGCGUUAGAUUAGGUAGUUGGUGGGGUAAUGGCCUACCAAGCCGACGAUCUAUAGCUGGUCUGAGAGGAUGAUCAGCCACACUGGGACUGAGACACGGCCCAGACCCCUACGGGAGGCAGCAGUGGGGAAUAUUGGACAAUGGGCGAAAGCCUGAUCCAGCAAUGCCGCGUGAGUGAUGAAGGCCUUAGGGUUGUAAAGCUCUUUUACUAGGGAUGAUAAUGACAGUACCUAGAGAAUAAGCUCCGGCUAACUCCGUGCCAGCAGCCGCGGUAAUACGGAGGGAGCUAGCGUUGUUCGGAAUUACUGGGCGUAAAGCGCGCGUAGGCGGCUUUUUAAGUCAGAGGUGAAAUCCCAGGGCUCAACCCUGGAACUGCCUUUGAAACUGGAAAGCUAGAAUAUUGGAGAGGUAAGUGGAAUUCCGAGUGUAGAGGUGAAAUUCGUAGAUAUUCGGAAGAACACCAGUGGCGAAGGCGACUUACUGGACAAUUAUUGACGCUGAGGUGCGAAAGCGUGGGGAGCAAUCAGGAUUAGAUACCCUGGUAGUUCCACGCCGUAAACGAUGAUAACUAGUUGUCCGGGCUCUUAGAGCUUGGGUGACGCAGCUAACGCAUUAAGUUAUCCGCCUGGGGGAGUACGGUCGCAAGAUUAAAACUCAAAGGAAUUGACGG